rnacentral:rRNA from 1 species
CAAUAGCGUAUAUUAAAGUUGUUGCGGUUAAAAAGCUCGUAGUUGGAGUUCUGCCAGGUGACACUCGUCCGCCCAAGUGGUGUGUACAGGGUGUGCAUCUGGCCCUUUCAAGGGGAACGUGUCUGCACUUCAUUGUGUGGUGCGAGAUCCUUGACUUUUACUUUGAGGAAAUAAGAGUGUUCCAAGCAGGCUCUCGUCGUGCAUAGCUCAGCAUGGAAUAAUAGCAUUGGACUUCGUUUCUACGCUGUUGGUUGCAAGAAGCGAGGUAAUGAUGAAGAGGGAUAGUUGGGGGCAUUCGUAUUUAACCGUCAGAGGUGAAAUUCUUGGAUUUGUUAAAGACGGACUACUGCGAAAGCAUCUGCCAUGGAUGUUUUCAUUGA